UACGUAGGGCGCAAGCGUUGUCCGGAUUUAUUGGGCGUAAAGAGCUCGUAGGCGGUUUGUCGCGUCGGAUGUGAAAACCCGGAGCUCAACUCCGGGCCUGCAGUCGAUACGGGCAGACUGGAGUUCGGCAGGGGAGACUGGAAUUCCUGGUGUAGCGGUGAAAUGCGCAGAUAUCAGGAGGAACACCGGUGGCGAAGGCGGGUCUCUGGGCCGAUACUGACGCUGAGGAGCGAAAGCGUGGGGAGCGAACAGG
rnacentral:rRNA from 1 species